rnacentral:rRNA from 1 species
UGCAACGCGAAGAACCUUACCUGGGUUUGACAUGCACAGGACGUGCCUAGAGAUAGGUAUUCCCUUGUGGCCUGUGUGCAGGUGGUGCAUGGCUGUCGUCAGCUCGUGUCGUGAGAUGUUGGGUUAAGUCCCGCAACGAGCGCAACCCUUGUCUCAUGUUGCCAGCGCGUAAUGGCGGGGACUCGUGAGAGACUGCCGGGGUCAACUCGGAGGAAGGUGGGGAUGACGUCAAGUCAUCAUGCCCCUUAUGUCCAGGGCUUCACACAUGCUACAAUGGCCGGUACAAAGGGCUGCGAUGCCGUGAGGUGGAGCGAAUCCUUGUUAAAGCCGGUCUCAGUUCGGAUCGGGGUCUGCAACUCGACCCCGUGAAGUCGGA